UGAUCCCUCCUACCGCACGUCAGGCAGACUUUGCUUUAGUGGUGACUGUUUAGGAUAUUGAUCCCUCCUACCGCACGUCAGGCAGACUUUGCGUUAGUGGUGACUGUUUAGGAUAUUGAUCCCUCCUACCGCAGGUCAGGCAGACUUUGCUUUAGUGGUGACUGUUUAGGAUAUUGAUCCCUCCUACCGCAGGUCAGGCAGACUUUGCUUUAGUGGUGACUGUUUAGGAUAUUGAUCCCUCCUACCGCAGGUCAGGCAGACUUUGCUUUAGUGGUGACUGUUUAGGAUAUUGAUCCCUCCUACCGCAGGUCAGGCAGACUUUGCUUUAGUGGUGACUGUUUAGGAUAUUGAUCCCUCCUACCGCAGGUCAGGCAGACUUUGCUUUAGUGGUGACUGUUUAGGAUAUUGAUCCCUCCUACCGCAGGUCAGGCAGACUUUGCUUUAGUGGUGACUGUUUAGGAUAUUGAUCCCUCCUACCGCAGGUCAGGCGGACUUUGCUUUAGUGGUGACUGUUUAGGAUAUUGAUCCCUCCUACCGCAGGUCAGGCGGACUUUGCUUUAGUGGUGACUGUUUAGGAUAUUGAUCCCUCCUACCGCAGGUCAGGCAGACUUUGCUUUAGUGGUGACUGUUUAGGAUAUUGAUCCCUCCUACCGCAGGUCAGGCGGACUUUGCUUUAGUGGUGACUGUUUAGGAUAUUGAUCCCUCCUACCGCAGGUCAGGCGGACUUUGCUUUAGUGGUGACUGUUUAGGAUAUUGAUCCCUCCUACCGCAGGUCAGGCAGACUUUGCUUUAGUGGUGACUGUUUAGGAUAUUGAUCCCUCCUACCGCAGGUCAGGCAGACUUUGCUUUAGUGGUGACUGUUUAGGAUAUUGAUCCCUCCUACCGCAGGUCAGGCAGACUUUGCUUUAGUGGUGACUGUUUAGGAUAUUGAUCCCUCCUACCGCAGGUCAGGCGGACUUUGCUUUAGUGGUGACUGUUUAGGAUAUUGAUCCCUCCUACCGCAGGUCAGGCGGACUUUGCUUUAGUGGUGACUGUUUAGGAUAUUGAUCCCUCCUACCGCAGGUCAGGCAGACUUUGCUUUAGUGGUGACUGUUUAGGAUAUUGAUCCCUCCUACCGCAGGUCAGGCGGACUUUGCUUUAGUGGUGACUGUUUAGGAUAUUGAUCCCUCCUACCGCAGGUCAGGCAGACUUUGCUUUAGUGGUGACUGUUUAGGAUAUUGAUCCCUCCUACCGCAGGUCAGGCAGACUUUGCUUUAGUGGUGACUGUUUAGGAUAUUGAUCCCUCCUACCGCAGGUCAGGCAGACUUUGCUUUAGUGGUGACUGUUUAGGAUAUUGAUCCCUCCUACCGCAGGUCAGGCAGACUUUGCUUUAGUGGUGACUGUUUAGGAUAUUGAUCCCUCCUACCGCAGGUCAGGCAGACUUUGCUUUAGUGGUGACUGUUUAGGAUAUUGAUCCCUCCUACCGCAGGUCAGGCAGACUUUGCUUUAGUGGUGACUGUUUAGGAUAUUGAUCCCUCCUACCGCAGGUCAGGCAGACUUUGCUUUAGUGGUGACUGUUUAGGA